GACGAACGCUGGCGGCGUGCUUAACACAUGCAAGUCGAACGGAAAGGCCCUGCUUUUGUGGGGUGCUCGAGUGGCGAACGGGUGAGUAACAAGUGAGUAACCUGCCCUUGACUUUGGGAUAACUUCAGGAAACUGGGGCUAAUAACGGAUAGGAGCUCCUGCUGCAUGGUGGGGGUUGGAAAGUUUCGGCGGUUGGGGAUGGACUCGCGGCUUAUCAGCUUGUUGGUGGGGUAGUGGCUUACCAAGGCUUUGACGGGUAGCCGGCCUGAGAGGGUGACCGGCCACAUGGGGACUGAGGGACGGCCCAGACGCCUACGGGAGGCAGCAGUGGGGAAUAUUGCGCAAUGGGCGGAAGCCUGAUGCAGCAACGCCGCGUUCGGGAUGACGGCCUUCGGGUUGUAAACCGCUUUCGCCUGUGACGAAGCGUGAUUGACGGUAAUGGGUAAAGAAGCACCGGCUAACUACGUG
rnacentral:rRNA from 1 species